rnacentral:lncRNA from 1 species
CCUAAAAUCCAAAUGAAAUGCAUGAAAAAGUAAGAAUAUAUUAUUUCAGUAAUAAAAUACCUCUUUUGAUAUAUAUAUCUAUAGAAUUGAGCUUCUAUGCUUUUAAAAGUACCAAAUUAUUGGUGCUUGUAGGUUUUUAGCCAUUAGAUUAAGAAAUAUGCGGUUAGGAUGAUGUGGGCCCUCUAGGGUUGAGUGAGUGGUUGGUUGAAUAGUAUAAUCUAAUGGCUGAAAAUGAUCCGAGAAGUAGAUCUAACGGUAAAAAACUUAUAAGCACCAAGUGGUUGGUGUUUUUACAAGCACCAUAACUGGACUAUAUAUAUAUAUAUAUAUAUAAUAUACUUUUGAGAAGUUACUUUAAAUUUCAAAUUAUUAAUGACAUACUCUUGAAAUUAACGUUUGUUUGAUAAAUCAAAACUACAGUGUAAGUAAAUCUCCCUCGUUUUUUGAAAUGCUCAUAUUCACCCACCAGCUUUCAAUGAAACAAACAUAUGUUUAUACGUUGAAUACUACACAAUUUUCUAGGAGCAAAACUUAAAAUUCUCCUUAAUAAUUUUCAGGUUAUACUUCUAAAAUAAAAUCUGAUAAUUGCUGCUGACACAGUGCCAUGUAACAAAAGAAAGUUUAUUGUAUAAUACUUUCAUCAUAUUAUUUAUUUCCGAUCAAUCAUAUUUCUUAUUUUGAAAGAAAAAUAAAAAAUAAAAAACUAUUUUUUUUAAAAUUACAAAAGAACGUGUAAACUUUUAAGAAAAUUUUUUGAUUGGUUGGGAGGAUAAGUCAUAAGUGUGAAAAAUUCUAGAAUGCAACGGAUAUAUUAGUGACGUGGCGUAACAAACCAAUCAAGUUAAUCCUUUUAAGAAUAUAUGUCCCAUCAUGAUUGUAAAAAAAUAUUUUUAUUGUACUUUUGUUUGAAAAGAAGAAAUAUGAUUGGCUUGUUGUUGAUAACGUGAUGCAAGUGUGACAGUGUAGAAUUUCUCCAUAAGUGUUAGGUUCUAAAAUUUUUCACCUAACAGGAGAGUGGGAUCCUACGGCCCGUAAUCACUAACAAGUUACUUUCAUGAGGUGGCAAAAUAAAACCCGGUAAUUAAUGACUGUCCUAGUUUUUGCCCAAUCGAGCAAAUGUUGGGUCGGAUUCAACUCAAAAUAAGAUGAUGUGAGACCAAUGCCCUUUUAACAAGUCCAAGAGGCCUCCUUGCUCCAAAAAAAAUUAAUUUUUUUAAAAGAUAAGCUUUAAAUACCACUCAUAUGAUUUCGUACUUUUUUUAUUUUAGUACCAUAUGUUUUAAGCGUAUCACUUUAGUACCCUUAAUUUUUUUUCUCUUUCUGUCAGCACCUAUAUUCAGUUUUGGUUAAAUUAUAUAUAAAAAACUUCAGAUGCCUCACCUAUGGUUUAUCGAAUAUUUAUUUUAGUACUCUGAGAUUUUAACUUUGUCACUGAAUAAUUAAAAAAAGGGAAAACUUCAAAAAACCCCCUGUGGUUUCGUAGUUUCUCACUUCGCCCCCCUAUGGUUUAAACUGUAUCAGUUUGCCCCCCUGUGGUUUCUUUUUUCUUUUUUUCUUAUCAAUUUUAUUAUUUUUUUUCUUAAAUCAGUGAUAAAGUUAAUUUAAAGGGUACUAAAAGUGAAUAUUUGAUAAAUCUAGAAGGGUAUCUAAAGUUUUUUGUAUAUAAUUUAAUGAAAUAUUAAUGAAAAAGCUAUCGAAAAGAUAAAAACGAAACCACAGGGGGGCAAUUUGAUACAUUUUAAACCACAUGGGGGCAAAAUGAAAAACUACGAAACCACAGGGGUGUUUUUUGAAGUUUUUCCUUAAAAAAAUUAACAUAGAAAAUAUCGAAAAGGAAAAAAAUAAAAGCAAAGAAUACGUACUAAAGUGAUAUAUUUUAAAAUAUAGGGAAAACUUCAAAUACCUCCAUUGUGGUUUCACUUUUUCUCACUUUAGUAUCCUUUGGUUUAAAGUGUAUCAAGUUAGUGCUCUGUGGUUUUGCACUUUUUUCACUUUAGUACCAUGUGGUUUAAAGUGUAUCAAGUUAGUACCCUGUGGUUUCGCACUUUAUCACUUUAGUACCCUGUGGUUUAAAAACCACAUGGUACUAACUUGAUACAAAAAUAAAACCACAGAGUACUAACUUGAUACAAAAAUAAACCAUAGAGUACUAACUUGAUACACUUUAAACCUCAUGAUACUAAAGUAAUAAAGUGAGAAACCACAUGGUACUAACUUGAUACACUUUAAACCACAGGGUACUAAAAUAAAAAAGUACGAAAUCACAGGAGAUAUUUUUAAAAUUUUUUUUAAAAUAUAUAAUACUAAAAUAAAAAAAUACGAAAUUACAAAGAAUAAUAUCUAAAGUUUUCUCUUUUUUAAAUUCU